ensembl:misc_RNA 7SK 7SK RNA
AGAGGUGAGGAUGACCUGGCUGCCUAGGCAGGAGUAACUUUCCUUCUUCACCAUCCCAUGUGUGUCCCUCCCAAAGCUGCAUGCUUGGUCAAAGGUGACCUUCCCUGAUGGAGCAGGUCCAGUCGUGGUCAAGGAUGCAUGAGGAGCUCCACUCUGCUAGAAGCUCUACACAAGCACUCAAGGAAUUUCUGUUGCUCGUCUUGGUGGUGAAUGACUUUAAUCCUCGUAUUCAUGAGGCAGAGGCAGGUAGAUCCCUGUGAACUGUAGGUCAGCCUGGUCUACAU